AAGUCGUAACAAGGUUUCCGUAGGUGAACCUGCGGAAGGAUCAUUAUCACGUAUCCACGUAUAAACCAAACCGCGAACUGUCUUGCCUCUCGGUGUUUUUCUUUUUGGGUUCGAUCUUCGGGUCGAAUCGAAAAAGAGAGACUCGAGUUGUAGUUUCUUUCAAACUUAUUAACCAAUUGAACCUAACUUUUAUUUGUAAUUCUGAAUUGUUUCUUACUCUGCUUGCAAAAGUGGAGAAGAAAUUCGUAGAUAUACGAAACUAAGUACAACUCUUAGCAACGGAUAUCUUGGUUCUC
rnacentral:misc_RNA from 1 species